UGUUGAGGUGUAUUUGUUACGAGCAUUUCAACUGUCUGCACAUUUAAUGGAACAGCACAUGGGAGUGUGAACGAACGUCAAGGGCUUAUCAGGUUUAAUGGAAUAUUUCUGUAGGUUGAAAGAAAUAGGAUGUUUGUGCAGAUAUUUUACAAAGGUUGUCGGCUUCGUUGGAAUGUUUUGUUUCUGUAAAAUCAAUCUUAAUGGAAUGCAUUAUUAUUUGAUUGUAUGUUUCGGAUUAAUUCUGUUUUACAAUUCGAUAAGGUAAAGUGUGCAUAUAGUUCAAGUUUUGUGUAGUUAUAAUCAAAUAUAAGCAUCUACUAAAUUGACAUUCGCAUGGUCGAUGACAAACUACUUUCACGGUUACGUGUACUUGUGGGCUACGUUGUGUGCAAUACUUCACUCAGGAGUCAGUGAGCCGACAUGUAUCUGUAUUUGAGUAUUAUUACCUGCCAAGUUCCGAUGCUGGAAACCUGCCUACUACUGCUGAUUUUGCUUUGCUCAGAAACCCACGCUUCCAAAGGUAGAUCCAAAUACCCCUCGUACACCAUCCCAGGGAAUCACUCCAGAAAACGUCACUCGUAUUCGUCCUCGCACAGCGGCCAUUCGUCGAUCCACCAUGUAUACUCGCAUGACCUACUUCUUCAGGGGUUAGAAGACAAUCAACCUACACCACUACCCCAUGUCCACAGAAACGAGUUUUUGAUGGUAAAAUGGGUGAAUAGCUCUGUUCAUGAAAUUUCAAUAAGUUGGAAUUUUUCUGGUGAAUAUAAUUCUUCUGGAUUUAUCAAAAGUUCUGUUGUUGCGUGUAUCACCGACAAGGGAAGAUUCACGUCCGACAGGUUGAGUGGUGACGUUAGGAAUUACACAUUUAGCAACCUGAAUCCAGGAUAUCUGUAUACUGUGUGUGUUUAUGUGGAAGAAACGUACGGUGAAAAUAAUGAUAGCACGUUUCAACAUUCCAAAUGUGCAAUGAUAAACACUAUAGAUUACGUCCGUAGAGAUAGUGUAAUAAUAUGCUUAGCAACUCUGGGUUACUAUGCGCUGAUGGCGCUUAUAGGGUAUACGCAAUGGAGACGAAGAAUGUAUGCUAUUUCGAACAAUGUCAAGAAACGCUCUAGAACUAAUGCUCAAGAUGGUAUUAGUGACACACAAUCAGGUGCUAUGCGAUGGCAAGAUCUCGCCGAAAAAGAGAAUCUCAUGCAAAAUAACCCCGUAUGUUCAAUAGAGUAUAAUGAUACUUGAUUGUGAUUAAUGUUGUUUGGAACAAUUUAAGGUAUUCAUUGUAGUGUUGUUUUUUUUCUUACCAAUGUACCUUUAUCAUAUAAUGUCGAUUUUUUUAAAAACAUGUUGUUUAAUUCUAGGCCAAAUUGACAUCCCUAUAUAAGUCAAAAUGAUGCAUUAUUCCAAAUCAGAAAGCCAUUGGUCCAAUUCCAAAAUAGUGAAAAAAACAACACUGCAAUGGUAUCAGUUCAUUAUGCAGUUUUCUAUGCUAUGUUUCGUGCUAAAUAAUUAUGCUUUAGGAGAAUUAGAAUUUAAAGUUGUCAAUUAUUUGGAACUGUUUACAUUUCCAUUCAAAAUAUCCACGUAAAUCGUCGGCAAGGUUUAGGAUUAUGUAAAGGAUGUGUAACCAUCAACCAUAUCAAUUACAGCUUUACAUGUAUACAUGAGUAUUUUAAAUAUGUGCCAGAAUAUUUACACGAAGUGAUUGUAAACUCAUGUCGUUCAUACAAUAGGCUAUGUUUAUCCUUUAGACGAUUUAUAUGUUGAUGAUUUAAACACAAUUGCAUGAAAUCUGUUUUAAUUUAUUGCUCAUAUAUUUCAACCUUUAUGGCCCACUAAACGAGUUUAAAUAACUGAGGUGUAUUCAUUGAAUAUGCCAAUGUAUAUACGUUUAAUUGUAAAUAACAAGGAUUGUACGUUUAUGAUUUUUACCAUUUAAAAUUUCAACAACAAUCAAUUUAAUGAUUUAAACAAAGCAACAUCUUGAAGAUGAUUUGAUAAUCAUGAUAAAUGCGAUAAUCUUGCGUUCAGUUAUUGUGUUUGUGGCUAACGUAUGUGAUUCGGUUUAUAGGGAUACAUAAGAAAACAGUUAGCUUACGUGAGCGACUGUAAGCCUUAAUAUAAUUCAGGGCUAAAAUUAGUAAAUUGAAUUACCGAAAAUGCAUUCGUGUAAUUGCAGUUUGUAUAUUUAGUCUUUAUUUUAACGAAAAUCGGACGUGAAAGAGCCUUGUAUGCUUUUAUUCACACCAAAAAUGUGUAUUUGUAGUUAUACUUAAUAAUCGGUAUAAUUUAUA